rnacentral:misc_RNA from 1 species
GAUGAAGAACGCAGCGAAAUGCGAUAAGUAGUGUGAAUUGCAGAAUUCAGUGAAUCAUCGAAUCUUUGAACGCACAUUGCGCCCCUUGGUAUCCCGAGGGGCAUGCCUGUUCGAGCGUCAUUUCACCACUCAAUCCUGGCUUGGUGUUGGGCGACGUCCCCUUUGGGGACGCGCCUCGAAACGCUCGGCGGCGUGGCACCGGCUUUAAGCGUAGCAGAAUCUUUCGCUUUGGAAGUCGGGGCCCCGUCUGCCGGAAGACCUACUCGCAAGGUUGACCUCGGAUCAGGCAGGGAUACCCGCUGAACUUAAGCAUAUCAAUAAGCGGAGGA